rnacentral:rRNA from 1 species
GGCGGACGGGUGAGUAACGCUUAGGAAUCUACCUAGUAGAAGGGGAUAGCCCGGGGAAACCCGGAUUAAUACCGUAUACCUCCUUCGGGAGAAAGAAGGCCUCUCUUUGAAGCUUUCGCUAUUAGAUGAGCCUGCGUAAGAUUAGCUUGUUGGUGAGGUAAAGGCUCACCAAGGCGACGAUCUUUAGCUGGUCUGAGAGGACGAUCAGCCACAUUGGGACUGAGACACGGCCCAGACUCCUACGGGAGGCAGCAGUGGGGAAUAUUGGACAAUGGGCGCAAGCCUGAUCCAGCCAUACCGCGUGUGUGAAGAAGGCCUUCGGGUUGUAAAGCACUUUAAGCAGGGAGAAAAAGUUAUAAGUUAAUACCUUAUAACCGUGAUGUUACCUGCAGAAUAAGCACCGGCUAAUUCCGUGCCAGCAGCCGCGGUAAUACGGAAGGUGCAAGCGUUAAUCGGAAUUACUGGGCGUAAGCGCGCGUAGGUGGUUUGUUAAGUUGGAUGUGAAAGCCCUGGGCUCAACCCAGGAACUGCAUCCAAAACUAACUCACUAGAGUACGAUAGAGGGAGGUAGAAUUCAUAGUGUAGCGGUGGAAUGCGUAGAUAUUAUGAAGAAUACCAGUGGCGAAGGCGGCCUCCUGGAUCUGUACUGACACUGAGGUGCGAAAGCGUGGGUAGCGAACAGGAUUAGAUACCCUGGUAGUCCACGCCGUANACGAUGACAACUAGCUGUUGGAAGACAAAGUCUUUCAGUGGCGCAGCUAACGUUUUAAGUUGUC